GAUGAACGCUGGCGGCGUGCCUAAUACAUGCAAGUCGAGCGAACAGACGAGGAGCUUGCUCCUCUGACGUUAGCGGCGGACGGGUGAGUAACACGUGGAUAACCUACCUAUAAGACUGGGAUAACUUCGGGAAACCGUAGCUAAUACCGGAUAAUAUAUUGAACCGCAUGGUUCAAUAGUGAAAGACGGUUUUGCUGUCACUUAUAGAUGGAUCCGCGCCGCAUUAGCUAGUUGGUAAGGUAACGGCUUACCAAGGCAACGAUGCGUAGCCGACCUGAGAGGGUGAUCGGCCACACUGGAACUGAGACACGGUCCAGACUCCUACGGGAGGCAGAAGUAGGGAAUCUUCCGCAAAGGGCGAAAGCCUGACGGAGCAACGCCGCGUGAGUGAUGAAGGUCUUCGGAUCGUAAAACUCUGUUAUUAGGGAAGAACAAAUGUGUAAGUAACUAUGCACGUCUUGACGGUACCUAAUCAGAAAGCCACGGCUAACUACGUG
rnacentral:rRNA from 1 species